UCCCUGGUGGCUCAAACGGUAAAGAAUCUGCCUGCAGUGCAGGAGACCCAGGUUUGAUCCCUGGGUUGGGAA
rnacentral:tRNA from 1 species